rnacentral:lncRNA from 1 species
GCAGUAAACAGCAAGUGCACAGUGCAGCUUCUCUAAGCCUCUCUUCUCCUGUCUCAGGGAGAAAGGAGUUCUCCAAGCCCUAGAGCCUGAGUCACUCGCUGUUGGGGACAGCAGGUGGGAGCUUUCCAAGCCAGACAAAGGAGACCUGACAAGGACCUGUGGUGAAGGGACAAGCACAAGGCAAGGAAGUGUCCGGUCACCUCCUCUGCUGGAACAGGCAGCAGAGACCUGGAGAGACAGGAGACAUCUUGCAAGACUCAACACCUGGAGCAGUGCUAACCAGGUGGGCAGCCCUGAUGUCAGCCAAGCUCUACGUGCUCAUCACUGGCCCGACGGCAGCCGGGUUAUCGACAUCGAGAACAUCAAGGAGCCCCGCAAGCCCUUCCACCUCUGCACUGUGGGGGAGCAGGUCCUGGCCCGCUGCCCUGGAUUCAGUGGGCUGUACUGGGGUGUGGUGGAAGGCAUAAGUGAGCACAAAGGUAUUUUGGAGAAGAAGCUGCUGGAAGAUCGACAGCUCCUGGAGAAGUUAAAAGAAGAACCAGCUGUCCACAGCAUGAUGCCAUCCCCACCAAAAAAAUCCAGGAAAACCUUUCCAAAAUGGACCUCAGGGAAUGCAUCCAGGAAAUACCCCAGUGACAGGAACUCUCCUGCAAAGCCACUGCUGAGGGUGGCUGAGGCCAGCCUGCCCCGUGAUGCCAGCAGCUCCUCCAUCAAGGACAGGCGUGUCCUGGGAAGCGUGGCAGGGAGUCCCUGCUCACUGGCAGCUCCCCCCCACCCAGCCAGUGCCUUCACACCUCCAUCCACCUUCAUCACCAUGGCCAUGCCAGGGCCAGGGACUUCCCAGAGUGAAGAGGACAGGGCUGGCCCAGCUGCCAGAGAUUAUGUUGCCCUUCCAAUGAAGAGGAAGCCAGAUGGCAUCUUGUCCCCGUGCCAACAGCAGAUCUGUCUGAACAGGUAACACCUGAAAGCACAAUAAAGAGCCUGAAUGUUUCACACCACACAUAUUGAUUUCUGUCCACACUGUCUCCAUUCUCUGGCAGUGCUUGCUUUGAGUAGAUGCUCAUGGAGGUUAAACCCAAAGCACAGAAGAUAACAGAAGUUUGUGUGGGCACACACAGCAAGAAAUGAGCCUGUGCUCUGAUUCCAUGGCGGGUCAGUGGGAGGUCCCCCAUAUCUGUGUGCCAGGGGGAUGCAGAGGAGUUUGUGCACAUUGAGAACCCUUCAUGUUCCCUCUCAGUCUGUUUCAUUCUUGUUGCAAAUGAAACCAGAAUUGACUUUGCUUUGAAUUCCAGAUAAUUCUCCUCAGGAAUGAAUUUGAAUGUGAGCACAAAGCUGUUUGUGGCAGUGCUGUUUAACUUGCUUGUUUCUUCCAGCCGUGAGGAGCGCAAGAUUGAUGCUUUGCAAGAGAUGGAUGGCUUUGAAAGGGCUCACAAAAAUGUCAGUCCUGGUGAGAUGGAAAGGGUGGAGAAGAUGGAGCAGCUGGAAAGGAUGGUGUUGGACCUCCAACAGGACGUCCUCUCUCUGAAGAAGAAGGUGCAGAGGCUGGAAUCCCUGUCCUUCCAGGAGGAGCCCCACCGACAGCCGUGUGAGGUGGUGGAGCUCUUCAACGGCUACACCAAGGAGCAGCUCAAAGAGACCAUCAGGUUUGACCAGAAAAUCAGCACAGCCUGCAAGACUCUGCUCUACAAACUCUUCACCUCUGACUACAUCCAGAGCCACUCCAUCACAGGGCGCAGGGGCAACACCUUCCGGGAGGCCAAGCCCAUGAUGGACGAACGCUGCAUCAAAAUCAUCCGGGUGCUGCUGAAGCAGAAGUUUGGGGAUCACCUCAGUGACACCGUGAUCACAGAGAAGAUCCAGAACGUGCAGAAAGCCCUGAGGCAGAAGUUUAAGACAGAAUGUCUCUGAGGAGUGGAGAAUUUGGUGUCUCCUCCUGCCAUUCCGUGUGUGUCCCUGAGCAGCCUUCCCAGGAGAGAUGAGCCGAGCAGCUGCUGCUCAGUAGAUUUCCCCCAGGGAGCCAGCCCAAGUAAACCACGUGCUGAACACAGCUCAAACACUGCCAAACCUCUGCCUCCAUUAACUGAGCAGGAACUGGGCCCAGCUUGGCUCGGUUUUUGCACUCUACAAGUUCCUUCCCAUCCAGUCUGUGUGAGAACCUCACUGUGGGUGCAUGGAAUCACCUCUACGACUCUGAUGGUGCUCAAAGGCUUCAGGGCUCCAUUUGAGUCCAAGAAUGGGUCAGAAAGGUAGCCUUGUUCCACACUGCAGAAAUGUUGGCUUUGGGAUGGGGAAUCCAGCUGCAGACAGCCUGUGUCACCCAAUGUGGCUUCUCUCUCUCUGCCUCUGGUUGCCUCAUUCUGCCUGUGGGACAAUAUUUACUCUUUCCUCACAGUGAAUGUUUUAUUUCCAUCACUAAAGAAAGGCAGACUCAUUAAAAUGACACCUUAAA